UGUGAGUGUGAGAGCGAGAACAGCCCCGCAGGUCCCGAGGCGCUGGCUGGGGACAAUGCCGCGGAAAGUUCCCAGUCCCCAGCCGCAGAUCUGCAGAAUUGAAAUGAAAUGUUUUGAGCUCCUCAAGCUGACUCGUCAGAAUCCUGGAGCCUUUUAAAAAAUGACGAAUUGGAAGAAAAAAUUACUUUAUCAAUAACCAGGCUCCACCAGGAUUGACCUAGAUGGUUGUUCUUGGCACUUGUCAUUCUCAGCAAGCACAGCUCAGAGAACAAAUACAAAAGACCCAAAGUGCAUUGCAUCUUUUAUGGAAGUGCCCAGUGUGGAAUUCAUAGAUUUCAAGGAAGGAACAAGAAAAUUGAUGAAACAAGUUCAAAAGAAAGGUACCUGUGCCUCAACAUUCCUAAGGAACACUGAUCAAUGAUCCCAGAAGCAUGCCAUGUUCUCUUAAUUCAUCAGCGAUUGAAAGCAAAGGAAAAUCAAGAAAUG